GAGGGUAUAGCUGAAGUGGUAGAGCGCAUGCUUAGCAUGCACGAGGCCCUGGGUUCGAUCCCCAGUACCUCCU
rnacentral:tRNA from 1 species